ACUUUCUGAGGGUGGGGCACAGUAAAAGGCUGAGAGUCUAGAAUUUUUUUGAAGCCCCCAGUGGGUCAUCGAAGCUAUAUAGUGGGACAGAGGGGCAAAGCCCCUUUAACCUACGGAGUUUUGACAAAAAGCUGUGAUAAAGCUUGUGACAAGACCAAGCGGUGGAUAGAACAACAAUGACGACCCAGUACUGUUGAACGUGGAGAAAAAAGUAUUUCAAUUGUAUAAUAUACACGCUAAUUGGCUGCAUGAAAGGCGAAGAUAACGAAAAGUGAUCAAUCUCACAACUCCUAUAAGCAAUACAAAAUAGUUAGUUGGGCAAACACGGACCCCUGGACACACCAGAGGUGGGAUCAGGUGCCCAGGAGGAGUAAGCAUCUCCUGUUGACCGGUCACACCCGCCGUGAGCCCUAUAUCCUGAUCAGGUAAACGGAGUUAUCUGUAGUCAAAAUCAGUGUGCCAAGAACGCCCUAACAAUCGGUAUGAAACACGUCAGAUUGAUUGAUUGAUUGAUGUUUUCCGCCACACUCAACAAUUUUUCAGUUUAUAUAUGGUGGCGCCCAGUUUUUAUUGGUGGAAGAGAGAACCCAGAUACAAUGUACCUGGGAAGAGACCACCGACCUUCCGCAAGUAAACUGGGAAACGUUCACACUUACCGGCCCGAGCGGGAUUCGAACCCGCGCCGACAGGUGAGAGGCCGUGUGAUUUUGAGUGCGAUGCUCUAACCACUAUGCCACGGAGGCCUGAAACACGUCAGACAGCAUUUGACCAAUCAUAGGUUGUAUUGCAUAUGUUAUAUAACGUUGUUUUUGUGUUUAUUUUUUUUAAAUAGCAUAGUGUCAUGGAAUCGCAGUAAAAGUUCUUUGAAUGUCAAAAUAUGGCAUGUACAGAAAGGAUUUUCAAUGUUAAAUUAUUUUUUUUUCAGUUUUGAUUUAGUUGUUAUUAUUUUCAUGAGUGCGAAGCUAAUAAAGACUCUAACGAAAAGGCCUUCCCAGUUUUUUCAAGACCUCAGAGUUUAUGAUCUUGAGACUGAAAGACCACUAUAUGUAGUAUAUAUGUUCAUCAACCUAUAUGAAACGUAUAUACAUGUACGUUGUGAAAGUUCCAGUGGCAUACUUUGGGAAGGGACCAGAUGGCUUCUUCUUUAGAACACAAAAAUAUUCUAAAUGAGUCAUUCUCUUUCAUUACUUUGUUUUUAAAUAUCGAAUAGAAUUGCCAUUUUAUGUCAUUUAAACCAAACUUAUCAGGAGCCCCCCCCCCCCCCCCCCCCCCUACUGCCCAAGGGGAUCGUAUAUUUGGUGCUCACUCCAUCCUUGGUUCCUUCCCUCACUCCUAGAAAGUCCACGAUCCACCACUGAUAUCGAGAACAAAUUUCACAAACUAUUGAACAAAUAAGAUGGAAAAAAGCCAGUACAAUUAAUCGAUAGGUAUGUAAAUGAUGAAAGUGAAUAGAUGUAUAUUAUCGAUUUUGAGGAAAGUGACGUUUCACUUACAUAAAGAAGCCUUAAAUCGGUGUUGAUAGGUAAUCUGAAAUUUCAAUGAAAGUUCCAAACACGGAAGAAACUCGUGAUUGGAAACACCCCUCGAUCAAUAAUAUUCUAGUUUUCCCCGGAAUGUGGAGGCUUUCAACAGGUCGUUUCCAUAAUGUACAUUUGCAAUAUAGAUUCACAUUUGCAUGCAAAACAACUUCCUAUAGUUGCUUUGCGACCGCAGUAUGGAAAAAAGAUUUGUUACCAAAUUGUUGGCAGAACAUUUUCGCAGGAAAUCAAUUGAACACGGUGGCGAUUUUUUUUUUAUGAACGUGUAACGAUCGGGGUUGUUGGUAUAAAUAAUUCAACAAAAAUGCCAAUCGCCAAUUAUAACUGCUAGGCUCACAUAAUUACCUUUUUAAAAAGUACCAGUUCAAAGCAGUUCCGACCGUGUUUAUGUGCAAUGAAGUUUUCAGAGCAUUUAAAACUGUUUAUUGUGAUAAGAACGGCAGCUGGUGUAAUUACAGCUGGUGUGCAGACGAAAAUCAGCUGUUAUUCAUAGCACACAAAAUUUAAAUACAUGUAUAUAUAAAGCUUUGAACAUGACACAUCCUUGUAACUCAGAUUUCCUAGAAUUUCCCCAUGUCUCUGUCAAUAACUUGUGAGUUUUUGCAAUCGGGAACAAGAGACAGACUCCCAUUACACAAUCUUAUAGUGGUUUGAUCGCCAUAGUCUUAAUAAUCGGAAGGGGUAAUAUUUAGAUUUAGAUAUGAUUCCCAGAAUUCCAUAUAAUCAUGCCUAUACCUUAUAGUUUUAGACAGUUCUGAAAUGUGUCAAAAGUAUGAGGAGAGACCACCCUUAAAAUGAAAAAUAUCAACAGCAAAUAAAGCUGAACCGGGCAAAAGUCACAGUUUACUAACACUACAACAAUUCCAAAGGCGACGUAAUUACUCUGCUUUAAAGAAUAUUCCUAUUUAUUAUAUAGCUAAUAUAAAUAGUCUAUUAUAAAAUCUGCUUAAAAUCUAGAGAAUGUUAGCGUUCAAUAUCAUUAGAAUUUAUUGAACGCUAACUUUGCAUUGCGUAAAUCAUGUGAGCCCGAAACAUUCCGAAUAUGAGCGUUCAAUAUUGACGUUACCGUAACGACGUAAACAAGCCAAAAUUCCUCCGAAGUUGACAGAGCCGGUAUUUGAUAUAAUAUUCAAUCAUUUAAGCAAAAUGUUUUACUGUACAUAAAUUAUGAUGUCCCCAUUCACAAAAUCAGUUUGCUUCAUGCAUUAAUGACGGGUUUAAUAUUGAACAGUUAAGAAAUGCAGGCUGACAUUGCACAUUACCUUAGAUGCCAAUAUUGACGAAUUCUCGUCUAUUUUAGAGUAUUUUUAGUGAUAAGGGAUAUAAUUUAACAACGAAAUACUUUAGCUAUAUAAUAAAAGGGUUAUUGAACUUAUAUUGGUGAAUAUUGCAGCCAACUCGUGCCAAUAUUCACCAAUAUAAGUUCAAUAACCCUAUAAUAUCCCCAUGUAAAAAAAAUUAUCCACUAUUGUGGCCCCACCGAACCCUUGAGACCAUGAUUCAAACAAUUCUGAAUCUACACUGAUAAGGAAGCUUUCACGUAAGUCUAGUCCAGUGGUUCUUGAGAAGAUUUUUAAAGACACCAGCAUAUUUCACUCUUUACCCAAGGAUGCUUCAUGGUAAGUUUGGUUGAAAUUGGCCGUGUGGUUCUGGAACAAGUAAAAAAAAAAUUGUAAAGUUUAUGGACAUACGAACAGAUAGACGGACGCCGGACAACUGAUGAUCAUAAAAGCUCACUUGAGCUUAUAGCUCAGGUGAGCUAAAAAGUAUUUUCAAUUAAUAUGAAGAGCUACGCCAUAAUUUGUCAUGUUAAUAUGCAAGCAUCGUCAGGUAGUGCAGAUUCUUUCUUGAAAAAAAAAAACAGGAGGAAAAAAAAUAAAAUCUUCUCUUAAGAGUAGCAGGGCCCACACUAACUCAUAUAAACAUGCAAGCAUUCCCAAGUUGUGUUGAUGCAAGUUGGUUUUUUAUGUGGAUCCUGGGGAUAGAGUGGGCUAGAAUCGAGGAUCAAAUUUCUACGUAAUACAGUACAUGAAUAAUGGCGCGGUGGCAAAUCUUCUACAGAACAGCAAGGUCAAAUGAUAAAAUUGAAUGAACUAUCCCCAUAUUAUGUGGAUUCAAGUUCAGUUUAGCCAUGGUCCUGUGGGAUUAAGGUGGGACUAUAAAAUGGGUUUUAAUUUUUUUUAGGGGAAAAAAGGGGUCAAUCUUUUAAAAAUCUUCUGAGAAUAGCAGGACCAGGGUGAUUCAAGUGAGCGGUGUGGCCCACUGUCCUCUUGUUUAAGAUGUUGAGAACAAUUCAAGUCUGAGGAAUGUUGAGAGCAUGAUACACCGCUACAGAAUGAUUCAGGGUGCUUAUAUCUGGUCUACCGAGAAAUUACAUGAUCUCAAGUUACUAACACUGCUAUAGGCACGAUGUGUCUCUGUAAUCCACUUCGUCAGUACUUAUAUAGGUCAGUACCAUUGUACAUGUACUUCAUAUAUUGCAUAAUUCAUCGUCAAUAAAGUCAGAUAAGACCAUCCAAGUCUAAAUGGAAGAAAGGGUGAGAAGAAUGCAAAUACAGGUACAUUUAUUGGAACAAGGAUAGGUAGAAAAUGACCAGGUGCGUGCACAGUAUAAGAGGCAACAGGAAGUUACAUAGUUACACAAUAAGGACCGUGAAAACAAUACACAAAAAUAGUUACAUGUAAAGUCACCUUACGAUUUCUUGUCGAAUUCGAUAUUUCUUUACAUUUCAAGAUAUAGAGAUGCCUUUUUAGAUUGUAUGUCGUUAAAAGUCUUUUACAUUUCAAGAUAUCUUUUAUUUUAUAGAGAUGUCUGUUUAGAGGAAGGUAUACACGCACCUAUAGACAAGGAACUAUUCGACUUGGAGAGUUAUCGUUUUGAUCUAUAAUGAUAUCUAUUUUUCUUUAGAGAUAAUGUUUAAAAUAUAUCUCUUAUAUACUUUUAUUCAGUUUGUAAGUAAAAUGUCCAGAGUUUACAUAUCGAUAAAGUCCUAAAAAAGAAUGUUUGGUUUUUAUAAUUUCAAUUUGUUAAUGUAUUAACAAUUUUCAAAAAAUAAAUAGUUUCCCUGCACUACGUUAUUUGCUUCCAGGCGCGUAUAAAUUCAUCACGUUUUAAGAUUUAUUGAUGUGUAAAUUCUCGUUCAGCUUUAUUUCUGUCCAAUCAAAACAAUUGUAAUAACAUUGGAAUUAUACAAAGAUAUCUUUUACUGAUAAAAAUAUUUUUCAUAAUUUACAUAUCUCUUGAUACUCUGUUCUUAUGUUUCCUAAAAGAGAAAUCUCUUAUAUAGGGUAUCUUAUAUACAGAAGAAAUCUCUGACACAAACGAAAACAUUUCGAUAAAUUGAUUGAUUGUUUUUACGUCCCGUCGAGAAUUUUCACUCAUAUGGAGACAUCACCAGCUGUAGGUGUGAAGUACCACAAAUUCAGACCCAUGCAUUGCGAUCUGGGCCGUAGAAGUGAGGGUUUUAUAUCGCGCCAACUCCUGUUGUUAAAGUCAUAUCAAUCCGAAAGAACCGUAAAUGCCGAUCGUUUGGCGAAGGAGCAAUCACUACCUGUUUGAAGACCCAGGUUUAAUGCGGCCAUGGCAUGAGCGGGGAUCGAACUCACAACUUCCCGGUUACGAAGCGAAUGCUCUCCCACUGGGUUACUGCGAUCGGUCUCGAUAAAUUGAGAAGAUAUUGAAUUCUACAAUGGCCUCAUAUAUAUAAUAGUUGAACCAAUGUCUAGGCCAUCCCACCAGAAGUUAAUUUCAGUUGGUAUUUGGCGAAUGGAAUCACACAAUCCAAUACUUACGGAGAUCUCAUCAAUGAGCUACAACCAAGAGGCAAUUACAAUGAAACAGUGCUGUAAGAAAACCCAAAGAUUACGAUUGGACAAGUUAACCAAGUCGGGGUUUAUUUUACAUCAUACUUUCAAACAAAAACAUCCAAUUACAGUCGAGCUCGAAAUGUCAUCACGUGAUUUCUUUCUCUGGUACUUUCCCACCACGGUAGUCUCGUUCAACCAGACACUCGGCUGUCUCCGUAAAUCUACGACGAGCAGAGAAUCUGGUAAAGACACGCGAUAAUAACUGUUACCGCUAGGGAGCGCUAAUUUAGUUUCCGUUGGAUUUUCUCUGACAUAAACAGUCAAUUCCGAAAUUUGAUGCUAAUUAGUUGAUCCUUCAUUAGUGAUUACUAAUGGGAAAAUAUUACUACAUGUACAACAAGAAACAUUGGUGCACGCACCAAAGUUAUGGGCCGAACAAAUUUCCAAGAGAGUAUCAUUGUUUCCAUAAACUAAAACUGUCUCGUAAACAUAUUGAUUGGACAAGUGUCCAAAUUCGACCCAUUAACAUACAAAAUGAACAGUAAUCUGUUACUCCUUAAAGAUCUGUGAACUACGUAUGUUCAGUAGGCAAAGGUUCUCCAGUGGACUUUUUUAAAGAGCAGUCUGAACCUUAACCUUAAACAAUUGUGACCUCAGAAUAAUGUGUUUAUAUGCUGCUUUACGUCUCAUUCUCGAAUUUUUCACUCUUAUAGAGACAUCACCUUCGGUCGAAUUGAGCAGUGAGGGUUCUUUAUCGUGCUAACGCCUAUCGUGACACAGGACCAUGGCUUACAAGCCUCAUCUGAAUGACCUCAAAAUAAUAGAUAUGGGUUAUUCUGCUCCUUGGAUGUUAUAAGUUUGAUGAAUAUUUACAAUGUUCAUUAUUGGAAAAUUUUGAGCUUUUAUCACUUGAAUAUAUUAAGCAAACAUUUUCUAAUGUGCAAAAUAAUUCAACCAAUGACUGUUGCAUGAAUACUGCAUUAAUUUAAUUUCACACUUUCCAUAUUAAAACUGUGACAUUUAAUUUGGGUUAUCCAAAUAUCAUAACCUUUCGCUAUGAAAUAAAUCAGAUUUAUUCAAGAUUGAAAAUUUUAUUGGCACAACCUGUGACAAUAUUUAACAAAAUAGUAUAAUGCAAUAAUCAAAACAUUCUUUAGCACCCUUGGAAUUAUGCAUUUUUCAAAAAAAAAAAAUGACGCCACCUCUAUAAAUAGGUCAGCAGAUAAGCGCACGUGACCUGUGUGUUACACAAAAAAACCCAACAAAAACAAAAAAACAAAACAAAAACAAAUGUUUAAAAAACACCACCGAAUUACUUUACAUACAAAAUGAAAACGUAUCAUGAUAAUCAGUAAUCCAACUUAAAAAAAAAAUACACACUCAUCCCGCAGAAACUCAUACACUUCUCAAAUUCUUAUUUCAUAGAAUGGGCCGGCUCGUGCCGGCCCAUAAUAAAAAAAUAUUACGCUCUUUGUCAGCUGGAAAUUGUACUUUCACUUUUGCCUCCUAAAGUAAUUUUGAUAAAACGGUUUUACCAUUUCCCGUCGGUAGAACAGCAAAUAAAUCCUUUCCUUUUACAAAAGUUUUUAUAAACACUCUAGUUGUAAAUGAUUAAUCUUAAACGGAAAAUUCAAUCUAUUACAAAUUUCUUCGGUAGUCGUUAUUUUGAAGGUGUGUUGAAUCAACCAAUCAAAUUAAAUACCGAAAUUUUGGUAAGUCUCGCUCUGACGUUACAAACGUUAUCGCGUAUCUUUACCAGACGCUCUGCUCUUCGGAUAAUUACGGGAAAAGCAGAGCGUCUGGUUGCACGAGACAACCACCACGGUAGUUUUUGUUAAAAUAGCUUAGAAUUGAAUAUUUUGGGGGUAAACUAGACAAUUAAACAAAAGACAUUUACAUUGCUUAGAUAUUGUAUUAUGGGUGAAAAACAUGUUAAGGUUUUAUUGCAUUGAAAAAGUAGGAAGAAUUGUUUUAGCAUACUAAAAUUGAUGUCUCCCCUUCCAUUUCCAUAGUUUUUAAAAGAUUUUUAGGGAUCAUCUUUAAAGUGGAAAACUAAGAGUUAUGGUACAUAACAGUCACCUAUAUGUGCUUCAACCAAGGAACAGUGUUGUGAACAUAUGAUAGUAAAUUAAACUUAUCAACAUACCAAAUAUCAAAGGCCCAUGUCAAAAGACAAAAAAUUUAUGGUCCGGACAAAAAAAAAAAUCACAAAAUAAUCCAUCAUUUACAUAAAAGAUCAAGGGUAAAAGGUAAUCAAAAAUGGCACGUGCCACACUGUCUUAUCAUGAUAUACCACAUAUCAACGACCUACGUCAGAAGACAAAAACGUUAUGGUCUGGAUAAAAAAAAUGCCCCCAAAAUUCUAUUAUUUGACUUUUACAUAAACGGUCAAUGUUUUUAAAAAUGGUACGCGACACACUGUCUUAUUAUUGUAUACCCACAUACCAAAUAUCAAAGGCCUAUGUCAAAAGACAAACUUUGUAUGAGAAGAGGAAGAAGAAUUCACACUAAAACAAUAUGCCCCCCUUCUGGGAAAGAGAAACAUGAUUAUGCUAAGCUUGCGAUUCAUGUCCUUUCAAGAGAUCCAUACGGUACCUCCUUGUGGUCGAUGUAAAGAUAAAUUAUGCUCAGUGUUGAGUUACGGUUGUGAUACCUUGAUGUCACGGUAUCACAUGAUGUCACGGUAUCACAUGAUGUCACGGGCGCUUGAUGACGAAACAGUUACUACCUAUGUUAAACGCAAACUUCCACCAGAGUUCACGUUCGUUUGCUCACAAACCAAACUCUUCCACUUAGGCAUUAUGGGAUAGCGAUUUCCUAGGCCGCGUAUACUGUGACGUCACUGUAGAAUGACGAAAAAACAUAACGUCAAACGUAAACAGCUUUCAAAACAAGAACGUAAACAUCAAGUUCAUUACUUUACACAAUGAUUUGUACAGUCUCCCUACUUUUUAAUGAUCUUUUGAUCAUUUUAUGUUUAAAAUAAAAUCCAUACUUUUAUAUUAAUGCUCUUAAUAUUAAUAUCUUCAAACUUUUAACUGCGAACUACUUCUUUAGUGUAAUUUGUCUGCGUGAUAAUCGCGGACUCACAAUAUACAAAUCUGUAUAUUGUACUGCGUCACAUAGGAGAGGUCUAUUCGUAGGUGACGUAAUAAGGCCUCGACGGGGAGUUUGUGUUAAACGCAAUAGCUUUGAUGCGGCGCCAGAAUAAAACAUCAAGCCUAGGCCUUCCGGUUUUGAUGUCACAUAAAGUUUACAUACAAAUUUUAUAUACGAUAUCCGUCCUCCUGUGAUCCUGUAUCAAAAGAUGUAGACGUGUUAUGGUUAACAUAUUUCCCUCAGAAAUGUUUCCUUCAACUGAUGUCAUGAGACAAGAAUGAAGUGAAGCCUUUCCGGCAAGCCGAGAAGACGCGAUUGAUUUACAACAUGAUCAGCAUAGAAUUGUGUAGGUGUUCAGUGUCGGUUAUAUUUAUAAAAGUUUUUAUCAGUUUAUGAAUAUUUAUAAUAAUUAUUUUACUGAUAUGUAUCUCAUUCAAUGAAGGACACCCCCCCCCCCCCCUCCCGAGACCAACGAUCUGACAUAUCGAUGAAUUUUUAAAUACGACUGUUUGUAAUAAUUUAUCAACAGUUACUGAUAUGUACAAACACAAAGAUAAGCACAAGGAAAGUUUUUUUGUUUUUUUUUUUUUUGGUUGAACAUGUUUUGUGAUGAAACAGAUCUUGAAAGUAAGUAAUAUGUCGAAAACUGUCCAAUAUGUCAGAUAUCUAAUGGUCCAGGACUGUUCUGGGAAGUUUGUGCCUUAUGACUUAAACAUUUUCCCUGGUUGUACAACUUGACAAUGCCCAAGAAAUCAGGCCACUGUUUACAAUAUAGCAGUUUUUCUGUUUGUCAUUCAUAUCGUGCACUUACAUUUUCGAUUAUUGCGUUUGACGAGAGGAAAGUAUGUGUAUUCAUAAUUUUGCCCUUAAAUUGUCGCACUGGAAAAAAAACCCAACUCUCAUUAUAAACACAUUCGCAAUACUGAGUUUCGAAUAUUGAAAUCAUGAACGACCGUUCACUUUGUAUUUGGUCAACUAUUUGGCAUGGCGGAUUACGAUUGCAUUCAUAAUUCAAUUUUCAAUACAAAGAGAUUAAUUAUGCUACAUAAGGAACAUUUGGAGCUCUAAGUUACUUCUUAAUAAUCAAGUUUAAUUUACUGUAUAUGAUAUUAAUAAAUAUAGAUAUCCGGUAAUGCACGCAAUUAUUGAACUAUUUUUCUUAAAUUCAUUUGAAUUAAAGAUAUCAUUCUUUCCAUAAAUGUGCGCAACAAUUCAAACACGCAUCAAAAUGUCCUUUAUUUAAUUCUGAUUUCACGCGCUUGCGCGGGGUUUCAUCUAGUAGUAUUUACAAAAUAAGGAUACGUCAUUAUGAUAUGGGUUUCUAUUAGCUGGGGAACACCGCAAUCUACAGUAUCAUUCGGGGGUUUCUAUCAAUUCCUCAUCCUAGUAUAAACAAAUUCUAUAUGAAAAAGAUAUUGUUUAAAUGAUAAAUACAUAUAUGUGUAUCACAGAAAGUGGCUUGAAUACAGGUCCAUGUAUAAAAAUGCGUUUUAUUUACCGUAAAUCAAUCAACCGACAUUUCUGUAAAAAUAGGGGGAAAGACAUGAAGUCGCUCCAAUAAAAGGUAUGUACAUGUAUAUAGGUAUAAAAUUAUAUGCUUUCGUUAUUUUUUGUGAUAGUACAAAAAGGUGUGUAUCAUUCAUCAGCGUGUAUGACGGAACAUCAAUUCUUUUUUCCAGGUCGCCACACAUCCAUGACAUCCAGUUGACAAGGGAUGGAACCGGUUUUUGUCGGUUUGAUAUAAAAAAUAAAUUUCUUGACAAUGUAAGCAAGUGCUACACUCACUGACAUCUUUACAAUGUAUGAAAGAAUGCAAAUAGAACUUUAUUAAGAUACCUUCCGAAUUGUUAAUGACAUAUUUGUGCUAUAGACUUUAUUCAGUUUAUUCAAACAUAUGUGCAUUUGUAAAUCAACUCCUUGAAAAGUACAAGGGCCUGUAAUCUGUAACAUUAUAUAGAUAGAAUAUAGUACAAGGGCCUGUAAUCUGUAACAUUAUACAGAUAGAAUACGGUACAAGGGCCUGUAAUCUGUAACAUUAUAUAGAUAUAAUACGGUACAAGGGCCGGUAAUCUGUAACAUUAUAUAGAUAGAAUACGGUACAAGGGCCGGUAAUCUGUAACAUACAAAUAGAAUACGGUACAAGGGCUUGUAAUCUGUAACAUUAUAUAGAUAGAAUAUGGGACAGAGGCUUGUAAUCUGUAACAUUAUACAGAUAGAAUACGGUAUAAGGGCCUGUAAUCUGUAACAUUAUAUAGAUAGAAUAUGAUACAAGGGCCUGUAAUCUGUAACAUUAUAUAGAUAGAAUAUGAUACAAGGGCCUAUAAUCUGUAACACUAUAUAGAUAGAAUACGGUACAAGGGCCUGUAAUCUGUAACAUUAUAUAGAUAGAAUACGGUACAAGGCCCUGUAAUAUGUAACAUUUUAUAGAUAAAAUACGGUACAAGGGCUUGUAAUAUGUAACAUUAUAUAGAUAGAAUACGGUACAAGGGCCUGUAAUCUGUAACAUUAUACAGAUAGAAUACGGUACAAGGGCCUGUAAUCUGUAACAUUAUAUAGAUAUAAUACGGUACAAGGGCCGGUAAUCUGUAACAUUAUAUAGAUAGAAUACGGUACAAGGGCCGGUAAUCUGUAACAUACAAAUAGAAUACGGUACAAGGGCUUGUAAUCUGUAACAUUAUAUAGAUAGAAUAUGGGACAGAGGCUUGUAAUCUGUAACAUUAUACAGAUACUGUAGAAUACGGUAUAAGGGCCUGUAAUCUGUAACAUUAUAUAGAUAGAAUAUGAUACAAGGGCCUGUAAUCUGUAACAGUAUAUAGAUAGAAUACGGUACAAUGGCCUGUAAUCUGUAACAUUAUAUAGAUAGAAUACGGUACAAGGCCCUGUAAUAUGUAACAUUAUAUAGAUAGAAUACGGUACAAGGCCCUGUAAUAUGUAACAUUUUAUAGAUAAAAUACGGUACAAGGGCUUGUAAUAUGUAACAUUAUAUAGAUAGAAUACGGUACAAGGGCCGGUAAUCUGUAACAUUAUACAGAUAGAAUACGGUACAAGGGCCUGUAAUCUGUAACAUUAUAUAGAUAUAAUACGGUACAAGGGCCGGUAAUCUGUAACAUUAUAUAGAUAGAAUACGGUACAAGGGCCGGUAAUCUGUAACAUACAAAUAGAAUACGGUAUAAGGGCUUGUAAUCUGUAACAUUAUAUAGAUAGAAUAUGGGACAGAGGAUUGUAAUCUGUAACAUUAUACAGAUAGAAUACGGUAUAAGGGCCUGUAAUCUGUAACAUUAUAUAGAUAGAAUAUGAUACAAGGGCCUGUAAUCUGUAACAGUAUAUAGAUAGAAUACGGUACAAGGGCCUGUAAUCUGUAACAUUAUAUAGAUAGAUAUAGUACAAGGGCCUGUAAUCUGUAACAUUAUAUAGAUAGAAUAUGAUACAAGGGCCUAUAAUCUGUAACAGUAUAUAGAUAGAAUACGGUACAAGGCCCUGUAAUAUGUAACAUUUUAUAGAUAAAAUACGGUACAAGGCCCUGUAAUCUGUAACAUUAUAUAGAUAGAAUACGGUACAAGGGCCUGUAAUCUGUAACAUUAUAUAGAUAAAAUACGGUACAAGGGCCUGUAAUCUGUAACAUUAUAUAACCCUCAGGAAAACAAAAUGUUGCCAUGGAUGCUUUUUUUUUUUGUUGCUUCUAAUUAUGUGAAAAAUAUUUCUGCAUUUGCCCCAAGUUUCUCUCCUUGGGUGUCACCAUUCUUUAGUCGCUGAUGGAUGCAGCAAUUAAGUCGAAAGAACACUGGUAUUAAUCAACUACGUCAUGGAUUUUUUUUUAUUCCUCAUCUACUUCCUAUCAAAACCUUUACCAACAUUGUCGACAUGUGUAUUCAUUUAUAUUGCUUCUUGUAUGUACAGGAUAUUUCAUAUAUCUUUUUAAAUAACUAUACAUCAAACUAUGGAGAUUGUUUUAUAGAUUAUGUACACACGUUAUGUAACCCUACGUGUUCAUUCUUUGGAUUGAUUGUAACAUAUUUCAUAAUUUUAUUGCACAGUAUGGGUGUGCAUUGGAAUUAGGGCACUAGUUCUAAUAAACUUAGUACACCCGUUCUCCUCUAGUAUUUCAUAUAGGUAAAGGUCAAGACAAUAUAUUAAACAAACGUAAUGCAUGCUGUAUUAAAGAUUUUAAAACCUUUAAUAACCUAAAUGUAGCAUAAGAUUUUGGUAAUUACAUGUAUAGCACCUACCAGUAUUUUGAAUCAAUAUAUCGAUGCAAUCAUAAAAGCGUAUGUACAUGAAGAAAGCGUCCAGAACAGCUAAUAAACGUGGAGGUAUUCAUUUUCCGCGACUCUUGCGGUUUGUUUGCACCUAAAUCACCAACAUUAGAAGUACUCUGUUGAUGGGUAUGACAUUUUGUUGAUGAAAUUGAAAAGUGCGUUUGUAUUUAUAGUAUCAAGGCAUUUAAUUAAUUUUACUAAUUUGAUAAUAAAAGUUGGA